CCUACGGGUGGCUGCAGUCGAGAAUCUUCGGCAAUGGACGCAAGUCUGACCGAGCGACGCCGCGUGCGGGAUGAAGGCCUUCGGGUUGUAAACCGCUGUCAGUGGGGAGGAAGGUCCUGUGAAGAGCAGGAUUUGACCUAUCCGCAGAGGAAGUGUGGGCUAAGCUCGUGCCAGCAGCCGCGGUAAGACGAGCCACACAAACGUUAUUCGGAAUUACUGGGCUUAAAGGGUGCGGAGGCGGCGUGGGUGUGAAAUCCAUCGGCUCAACCGAGGAAUGGCGCUCAAAACUACCGUGCUCGAGGGAGAUAGAGGAGUGCGGAACUUACGGUGGAGCGGUGAAAUGCGUUGAUAUCGUAGGGAACACCGGUGGCGAAAGCGGCACUCUGGAUCUCAUCUGACGCUGAUGCACGAAAGCUAGGGUAGCAAACGGGAUUAGAUACCCUAGUAGUC
rnacentral:rRNA from 1 species